rfam:Schistosoma curassoni strain Dakar, Senegal genome assembly, scaffold: SCTD_contig0003757
AUCCAGCUGAAGAAUCCGAAAUAGGACGAGAUGCGCAUCCUGGAU